ensembl:lncRNA
UGAGUAGUUGUUCAUCACUGAGCAAUUUGUUAAUAUGUGUUUCGAGCCAAAUAAAUGACAGGGAGAGAGAGAGUGACAUCAGAACACGUCAUACUAUAACCUCCCGGGAGCGGACGGAGGGGGUCAGUCGUUGAGAUGCGCAUGCGCAGACAGAGUGUGCGAGCGGCGGACCUUGACCUUUCGGGAAAAAAAACUCACGGACGGUGACAGCGAAACGGAUAACAGUCUUCAGUACCUGCUGGACUUUGAAGCUGUGGAUUCUGGGACUGUUAGAAAAGAUGGAGGAUCACUAACAGGAGCGUGGGAAGACUCCAGAAUCCACUCUGGCUGGAAUCCGGUGGAUAUGCAGUGUGUACAGAACAGUUCUCCACAGUCGCUGUCCACAUGGGUCAGUGGGACCAAGAAGCACUCUGCUAAUGUGGGACUCUGACCAGCAACAUCCAGCAGGACCCAGACAGCGUUUUCUAUCUCCCAGCUGGAGGUUUUUGUUUGUCUGUGACUGGAGAGUCAGAUUUUUGUUGAGCUUCACACUUGCAGAGGUUAAUACACGCUACUGAUCCCUGAUAGGAGAAUCAUCAAUUUUGGCAACAAAGAAGCCUGGUGGAUGUUUGUUUACAGUCUGAUGAUGGGACAUCAUGCUCUGCAUCUUCAAAGUUUGCCUCCUCAUUAUUAUUCAUACCCAGUAAUGUGAAGUAUGCUCAUAUCUACUAUAACUGAACCAACCUGGUGCUCUUCAUUUAUGGAGGCUGUUGAGUCUGAAUGUUGGAUGUUGUGUAUCUCGUGUUCUCUGGGCUUUGUUGUCCUCAGUCUUUUUGCAGGAUCAGAAAACAAAACCAGGAGGCGUGUAAAUGUUUCUUCUCCAUGAUGUUUCUUCAAAUGUUUCUUCUGGAUGAUGAUAAGACUGUGACACGGGAUGCCACCUUUGGUCUUGUGAUGAAGCAAAGCUCAGGAAGAAGUGGGAUUAAAUGGUACCCACAUGUGUGCUGCUGAGAAGGAUGUACAGGGGCACCUGCAGCCAAAUCCAAGCCUCAGAGCGGCAGUUUGUGCUCACAGAUGGUGACGGUGUGGAGAGACGGUGGUGUUUCCUCAGAAGAACCAGCAGAGUCACAAAGGACACCAGUCCAUCUCACCACCGUGACUCGCUGACUGAUGUUCGUCUGCACUGCACAGAGGAAAUCAACUGACCAAGGAAUGGAGAAAUAAAAUCACAGGGAGAUGUUUUUGCUGUUUUUGUAAUGAUAUGGGCAGUAUAUCAGUCUUGGACUGUCUAACCUGCUGGAGCAGCACUGAAUGACCACCACACAUGAGCAUGUUCCCGCAACAUUCAGCAUCUGAUCUGUCAUCUGUGUGCUGCUGCUUUUGUGUCACAUGUCAAACAGCUGGAGAGGAAACUACACCAGUGUACUGGGAUGUUUCAGCAACACGUGCCAGAUGCUGUUCCUUCAUGGUGACAUCACCAGAGACAGCCCCACCCACCUCAGGACCUCGCCAUUGAUCAUGAUGAUUAUAAUGAUGACAGCGAGCGGAACUAAGACUGUAAAAAUCCACGACCAGAAUUUUUCUUUCUAAUUAUGAAUGAAUACUGAGAGCCUCGUUCUGUGUUUUGUCUGUUUUGGUUGUUUUUUUUUUUACCUCAUUUGUUACUAACAAAGUUCACAAACUCACACAGUUUACAUUCUGUAUGUUUCCAUCUUUACCAGCCACAAUCUAACUGCAUUUAAGAAAAUAAUCCUUAGAAAUCGUCGUUUUUCUUUUGUAAUUGAUGAUAAUUCAGUGAAUAUACUGCGCUGCUUCCUUUUAUUGCGUCACACAUUGCUUUAUGUUUUUCAGUGUCCAGUUAUUUUUUACUGCUGUUUGAAUUCUCUGUAUGUUUGACCCUGUAGACUGUUUGAUGGACUGCUUGUCUUCCUGUUUGUUACCGCCGCCUGUUUUUUAAUAAAGAUUUGGAUUUCUGACUUCAACACA